CUCAGAUUUUGUAAGGAUCCCUCAGGGUCUGUCUGGAUCUAUGAGGAUCCCUCAGGCUCUCCUAGGUUCUGUGGGAUCCCUCAGGGUCUCUCAGGUUCUGUGUGGAUGCCUCAGGUUCUGUCAGCUUCCCUCAGAUUCCUUGAGGAUCCCUCAGAUCCUGUCAGCUUCCCUGGGUUCUGUGAGGAUCACCCAGGUUCUAUCAGCUUCCCUCAGGUUCGGUCAGCAUCCCUCAGAUCCCAUUAGCUUCCCUCAGGUUGUGUGAGGAUCCCUCAGGAUCCCAUUAGCGUCCCUCAGGUUGUGUGAGGAUCCCUCAGGAUCCUCAGGUUCUGUAGGCUUCCUUGGGGUUCUGUGAGGAUCACUCAUAUUCUGUCAGCUUCCGUCAGGUUCUGUGAGGAUCUCUCAGUUUCUGCAGGUUCCGUCAGUUUCUAUCAGGAUCCCUCCGAUCCCGUCAGCUACCCUCAGGAUCUAUGAGGAUCCCUCAGGUUCUGUCAGCUUCUCUCAGGCUCUGUCAGGAUCUGACAGCUCCUCUGAGCUUACCUCAGGAUCUGUGAGGAUCCUCAGGUUCUCUCAGAUUCUGUGAGGAUCCUCAGGUUCUCUCAGAUUCUGUGAGGAUCCUCAGGUUCUCUCAGAUUCGGUGAGGAUCCUCAGGUUCUCUCAGAUUCGGUGAGGAUCCUCAGGUUCUCUCAGAUUCUAUGAGGAUCCUCAGGUACUCUCAGAUUCUGUGAGGAUCCCUAAGUUUCCCUCAGGAUCUAUGAGGGUCCCUCAGGUCGCCUCAGGUUCUGUGCAGAUUCCUCAGUUUCUGUCAGUUUCCCUCAGGAUCUGAGAGGAUCCCUCAGGGUCGGUCAGCCUCCCUCAGGUUCGAUCAGGAAUCCUCAAGUUCUAUCAGCUUCCUUGAGAUUCUGUGAGGGUCCCUCCGGGUCUGUCACCUUCCAUCGGGUUCCAUGACAUAACCUUAGGUUCUCUCAGGAUCUGUGAAGGAUGCCUCUAGGUCCUCUCAGGUUCCAUGAGGAUCCCUCAAAUCCUGUCAGCUUCCCUCAGAUCCAAUACAUUUCCCUCAGGACUUCUAAGGACCCCUUAGGUCCUGUCAUCAUCCUUCAGAUUCCAUGAGGAUCCCUCAGGUUCUGUCAGCUCUCUCAGGUUCCGUGAGGAUCCCUCUAUCCUGUCAGCUUCCCUAGAUCGCCUCAGUUUCCGUCAGGAUCUGUGAGGAUCCCUCAGGUUCUGUCACCUCUCUCAGGUUCCAUGAGGAUCUCUCAGAUGCCAUC
rnacentral:lncRNA from 1 species